UUCACGGUACUUAAUGUGCCAAUCUGACAUAGCUUACUGUAUUUACCCUAUUUUGUAACAGUUACGCAUUUCCGCCUGCAAGUUUCAAUUUCCAUUGACUUGAAACGGCCUGCACUUCAUUUUCUAUUUAUUACCUCUCAAAGGGGUUAUAGUGGAGGUGUACAUAGGAUUUCAAAGGGGUUGUUAUAGUGGAGGUGUACAUAGGAUUUCAAAGGGGUUGUUAUAGUGGAGGUGUGCAUAGGAUUUCAAAGGGGUUGUUAUAGUGGAGGUGUACAUAGGAUUUCAAAGGGGUUGUUAUAGUGGAGGUGUGCAUAGGAUUUCAAAGGGGUUGUUAUAGUGGAGGUGUGCAUAGGAUUUCAAAGGGGUUGUUAUAGUGGAGGUGUGCAUAGGAUUUCAAAGGGGUUGUUAUAUUGGAGACAAACAUAGGAUUUCACCAUAUCUGGAAAACUGCUUAUCGAGUUGUCAUGAAAAUUGGUAUUAACAUUAUUUAGCAUAACUUAUUUAUAAUGUCAGAUGUAGUCAUUUUUAUUCUAUACGUAUGUAUGUUACUGACAUACUUGUUUUAUACGCCAUCCGCAGCACUUUAGGUCUGGUUGUGUCAAGAGAAACACAAAACAUGGGAGUGCCAUAUUAUGUGGACAAAGGAUUUGAAAAAGAAUACCAAGGAGCCUCACUAAGAGAGCUAGAAAGCACUAUUGAGACUGAUUACAUUGAUUAUCUUCAAACCAGCUGCUGGAAGGAUAAGCAGCAAAAAACUGAUUUGGCCAAUUUAGGCAGAUUAUACAGGGAUGAGCGACUGAAGCAGAAAGCAGAUUCGAUGAAGCUUGAAAACUGUGAUAAACUGAACAGACUGAUUGGGAGGCCAAAGGGGGAAUGAAACAGCCGUCCCUGUCCUCUUGUCCUCUUGAAUCCUCCUCUUGUCAGUGCAGUUGGAUAUAAAUUCAAAUGAUUUAAAGUUUGUAAAUAUGUUGGAUUGCACACACAGUUAGCUACAGCUUAGAUUGAAUGGCUGGUGAACAUAUUUCAAGGUGAAUAGAUGGUGGAUGUGGUUUGACAGAGAGAGCUCCAGCUCUCUGUGGUUUGCACCUGUUUGAAAAGGAAAUCCCUUUUAUUUUCCUUAUAUUAAGGAAUAGCAUUACUGUUAGAGUCCAUUGCUUUUCUUGUAACUAUUAUUUACACACACACCCUGCUAAAAUAACUUGAUGUUACGCAUGAGGACAAUUUCACAAAAGACAUGUUUGUUAUGAUUCUUAUUUUUGUCUCAGGAAUGUGGCCUAGUUCAAAACAAUUCAUGACUCGUUUUUGGAAAAAUAAGAAAACUUUUUUGUGUCUUCAAACAAAACCUGCUUCUGGUAAAUGUGUUUUUUCCCUUCCCUCAGUUGAAAUCAGAAUUCUUACAACCAUAGCAUAGCUAUCAUCCCUAAUGGUUUUUCUCAUUAUUAUGUUGGUGAAGCCCACCUGCAUUCCUCUCCCAUGCCCUUCUUGUGUUACAGUAUAGGAUCUCACAUAGUCUCCUAUGUGGGUGUAUUGCUCUGGUCCCAUUAUCAUGAACGCAGUGUUGAGAUCCUGUACAUGGGCUUCUGCUCACGCUAUGCCAAUGACAAAGAACAACGUGAAGUCCUUGGUUGUACACAUUUAAGCAUCUUUAUUUGGAUUGGCGGGAAUAUGUCCCUAGGCUUUAGAUCCAGGAAAUUGUGGAAUUUGAUGACUUUGUAUUCUUGUGUAUCGUGUUGUUUUUCUUUUCCCAUGUGAGUUAUUGGUUGUCAUCCGUGUCACUGCCUCUAUUAAGCAACCACUUCUGAAGUAGAAAUUAAACAAAUUAAUUAUGUACCAUAAUGAAUACCCUUUUAAUAGAAAUAUUUGUAAAUGACUAAGGCUCAUAUCUGGGUUAUAUCAGACGAUAUCUGUAACAAGUACUGGGACGGGAUAGGGUAUUGCUUGUUUUGCCUCACUUGCUUGCUCAUCAAAAAACUAUGAUCAUACAGUACAUUGUAAUACCACAUUGGGAUAGUCACCUUUGCAGAAACCUAUUAUAGGGGUAAAAUAAACACCAAAACGCAUGGUUUAUUCAGUCUCAGUACUUGGAGGGCAGUGUAUGAUGUGAUGCUCGGUGAUUAAAACCUUCAACCAUCAUUCUUGUACUCUGAUCUUAAACCUUUCUUGUCUUCACAUUUCUGAAUUACAGCAUGUUCAGAUACUUCUACCCAAUCCUUCCUUUAUAUAUUUGUGUGUAUCUGUCCACUGAGUAUUUAUUUUUGACUCUGUGCUAUUGAAAGGUGUGGCAGUGUAGAGUGUCGCCUCACCUCUGCAAGCAGACGAGUACAUUUCAAUCUUGCCCAUUCAGUCGUGAGCCUCUCAUAAGCAGACUGCCAGCUGUACAGAAUUGUGUGGUGUUUCUAUGGCGAGGUUGAGAUCGCUAACCUCAUUUUAACCCAGAGGUGAAAGGCAGAAGAGGCUUGUGAAUUUGCACACAUCUUUAUCAAACCCAUUCAGCCUCUUUUGCUCCUUUUCAGUCUCUGCACUUUAUAUAAGCUAGAAAUGUGAUACCUGUAAAUGUAUAUGUACAUUUUGUAAAAAAAGUGUAUAUGGGUUAACCCCUUUGGACAGGCAUGGUGUUAAAAGUUUUAUUGUGUAUUUGUUUCUGCUGUGACAGUGGUCAAAAACCCUUCACUGAUAAGGAUAGAAACUGUUUCUUAAGCCAUUAAACUUUGUCUGAUGA